UCUCUUUUCUCCUCGUUCUGACGCCCGGACCUCGGAGAGGUCUGCGUUGAGCAGUCAACUGAUGAUUACGAUUAGGCCACAACACGAGGGCCUGCCUUUGUCUUAAGAAAUGUGGUUAGCUCAAGCUCUUUUUCCCUCCAGGCUUCUUCAGCACUGUUGCUCAGCAGCAGCAGUCCUCCAGUGUGGCUUGCUUAGAGCAGACAUACAGUAGGACCAUACUCUCUCUUACGGCAGCGACUAGAGGGCCUGCGUAAGAUUUCUGCAACAAUAGUUAGCGCCAACAGCUACUACACAAAGUCUGCCGGCUAACUUUAAGAAGUAAGUGUAAGUAGAACAACAGACGGAGCGACCAGGUUUCUCCGGAAGUAUUCUCGGAAUACUGCACAGCAAGGACUUUUCCCGGAACCACAAUUCUUGGCUUGGCCCGUCUACAACAGACGGACCACCGGAUAACAAGGAGGACUUAAAAGAAACCUUCUUUCCCUUCCAUGGACUGUGUAUCUUCCAUCUUCCUGUUUUCUGUCUACGCCAUCUUUGCCGCACCUCUUCCCAUCUCUUGCCCCGGCACUGGCCUGUCACGUAUCACCAGCUACAGAAAUACAGUCAUAGACAUUGGAAAACAAAGCACGGGGACUGGAUAAGUGCAGCGGGCCCUGGGACGUUCCCACAGCAUCUUCCAACGACCCACCCAGACCAGCAGGACCAAGCGCUGCCACGGGCGGUGUGACUGCCCCAGGAUGCGAGGGAAGAGAGCCAGGAUAGGAGCUAAUCAUAAGGCUGCUCCACUACCCAGCAUACUCCUGGCAGAUAUCCAGUUGCAGGAAAAUGGAAUGGACGAAAUGGGACUCAGGCUAACCCAGCAAUGGGAAAUCUGAGACUUCUGUGCCCACAUUGUACAGAAACCUGGCUCCAUCACAACAUACCUGAUCAAGCUAUUGCACUCGAUGGGUGGACCAUAUUCUGCGCUGACAGAAUGCUUCAGACUCCAGCAAGACAAGGGGAGGUGGACAUAGUCAAAGUUGAAGGACAAUGUUUCCCAGAUGUCAAGUUUUUUUUAAUGUUAAGAUGCCGACCUGUAAAGACGGGUCACCGUUACUAGAUCUCUAGUUAUUAGUAAAUAUGGUUACUAGAUGAAAGUGGUUAAUUGAUGCAGAGAUUUGGCGUAUAUUAGUACACAGGUAAAAUAAACAAAUGUGUAUUUUAACUUGGUAAUUUAAGUGUAUUUAUUGAUUACUUGUUUGUAUACUGCAGUUCGCUGGAGUUGGGUUUCACAGCGCCGCCUGCGAAUGAGCAAAUAAUGCACAUUAAUUUAGGAUUCAAUAGUAGCAAAAUGUUUGGUAAUUGAAAAGUAUAAUGUAAAACUCAUGUAAAGCGAAUUGUAUCAGUAAAUGGAAAUCCGUCAUGCACAAACUUACCUCUGCCUUUUCUCCUUCUCUCAGGGUGUUCGGCAAAAGAGUUUCCCGGGGACUCGCGCACCUAUUAUUCAUUCUGGGAGGGUAGCAGCAAGCGGGAAAUGGGUAGAGAGGGAGUUCAGUUGUACAAUUUAUUUAUUUAGGAUAUUUAUUGGUAUUUAUUAGGUUUAUAGUUGGUGUGUAAAUAUUUAUAAAGAUUAUAUAUAUUUUGGUAAUGUUUUAUGUAAAUAUUGAUUGUAUAUUUUUUGUGUGUGAAUGUCUGUUAAGUAACUCAGUAAAUGGUAUGUGCCAGCCAAUUAUUUGAGCAGACACAGUAUAUAAGGGAGUCAGUCUGUGUGUGUAAGUGAUACUGGAAGGUGUUGGAACAUUUUGUUGUGCACGCUGCUGCAUAAAAUAAAAUGAUUCAUGCUGAAUGUCACCCUGGAAUAGUGUUUCUCCUCAUUCCCCUCCUUUGACCGCUCAGGCAAAUUAACACAACCUUAUUAUCAACACUAUCUUCUUCUGUCUGCUGUUUACAUUCCCCCAGACGCAAAUUCAAAAACUUCACUACAGAGUUAUUACUUUCUGGGUGUAUAUGUAAGUAUGUAAAUAACUGUAUAUAUUGUUUUUUUUUUAUCUUGU